rnacentral:rRNA from 1 species
AAUGAACGUUGGCGGCGUGGAUUAGGCAUGCAAGUCGAACGGGCCCGCAAGGGUCAGUGGCGGAAGGGGGAGUAAGGCGACGGCAACCAACCCCGAGGAUGGGUACAGCCGCGGGAAACUGCGGGUAAUCCCCAGCGAUGCGAGGGCGUCGGCAUCGACGCUUCGCCAAAUGGAUUCGUCCGGCUCGGGACGGGCCGUCGUGGUAUUAGGUUGUUGGCGGGGUAACGGCCCACCAAGCCUGCGAUGCCUACCGGGCGUGCGAGAGUGGCCGGGCACACUGAGACUGAGACACUGCCCAGACUCCUACGGGAGGCUGCAGUCGAGAAUCUUCGGCAAUGGGCGCAAGCCUGACCGAGCGACGCCGCGUGGAGGACGAAGGCCUUCGGGUUGUAAACUCCUGUCGAGGGGGAGAAAGGCUCCGCGAGGGGCUUGAUCGAUCCCUGGAGGAAGCACGGGCUAAGUUCGUGCCAGCCGCCGCCGUAACAC